rnacentral:rRNA from 1 species
GCAGCCUGCAACUCGGCUGCAUGAAGCUGGAAUCGCUAGUAAUCGCGGAUCAGAACGCCGCGGUGAAUACGUUCCCGGGUCUUGUACACACCGCCCGUCACACCAUGGGAGCCGGAAACGCCCGAAGCCAGCGGCCCAACCGCAAGGGGGGAGCUGUCGAAGGCGGGGCCGGUGACCGGGGUGAAGUCGUAACAAGGUACC